rnacentral:rRNA from 1 species
GGGGCCCGCACAAGCGGUGGAGCAUGUGGUUAAUUCGAAGCAACGCGAAGAACCUUACCAGGCCUUGACAUGCAGAGAACUUUCCAGAGAUGGAUUGGUGCCUUCGGGAACUCUGACACAGGUGCUGCAUGGCCGUCGUCAGCUCGUGUCGUGAGAUGUUGGGUUAAGUCCCGUAACGAGCGCAACCCUUGUCCUUAGUUACCAGCACGUUAUGGUGGGCACUCUAAGGAGACUGCCGGUGACAAACCGGAGGAAGGUGGGGAUGACGUCAAGUCAUCAUGGCCCUUACGGCCUGGGCUACACACGUGCUACAAUGGUCGGUACAAAGGGUUGCCAAGCCGCGAGGUGGAGCUAAUCCCAUAAAACCGAUCGUAGUCCGGAUCGCAGUCUGCAACUCGCCUGCAUGAAGUUGGAGCUGCUAGUAAACGCAGGUCAGCCAUACUGCGUUGAAUACGUUCCCGGGGCUU